UGGGGAAUAUUGGGCAAUGGGCGCAAGCCUGACCCAGCCAUGCCGCGUGAGUGACGAAGGCCUUAGGGUUGUAAAGCUCUUUUGGCGGGGACGAUAAUGACGGUACCCGCAGAAUAAGCCCCGGCUAACUUCGUGCCAGCAGCCGCGGUAAUACGAAGGGGGCUAGCGUUGUUCGGAAUCACUGGGCGUAAAGCGCACGUAGGCGGACUUUCAAGUCAGGGGUUAAAUCCCGGGGCUCAACCUCGGAACUGCCUUUGAUACUGUUGGUCUCGAGUCCGGAAGAGGUGGGUGGAAUUCCUAGUGUAGAGGUGAAAUUCGUAGAUAUUAGGAAGAACACCGGUGGCGAAGGCGGCCCACUGGUCCGGUACUGACGCUGAGGUGCGAAAGCGUGGGGAGCAAACA
rnacentral:rRNA from 1 species